GGGUAAAUGGCGCAGUGGUAGCGCGUUCGCUUUGCAUCUCUAGCUUGCGAAAGGUCCGGGGUUCAAUCCCCUGUUUAUCCA